AAGUCGUAACAAGGUCUCCGUAGGUGAACCUGCGGAGGGAUCAUUACCGAGUUCAUGCCCUUACGGGUAGAUCUCCCACCCUAUGUUAUCGUUACCUUUGUUGCUUUGGCGGGCCGUCAGGCCUCGGUCAGGCUACCGGCUCCUGCUGGUAAGCGCCCGCCAGAGGACCCCAAACCCAGAAUGUCAGUGUUGUCUGAGUACCAUGAUAAUAGUUAAAACUUUCAACAACGGAUCUCUUGGUUCUG
rnacentral:misc_RNA from 1 species